AUUGAACGCUGGCGGCAGGCCUAACACAUGCAAGUCGAGCGGGGUUUUCGGACCUAGCGGCGGACGGGUGAGUAAUGCGUAGGAAGCUGCCCGAUAGAGGGGGAUACCAGUUGGAAACGACUGUUAAUACCGCAUAAUGUCUACGGACCAAAGUGUGGGACCUUCGGGCCACAUGCUAUCGGAUGCGCCUACGUGGGAUUAGCUAGUUGGUGAGGUAAUGGCUCACCAAGGCGACGAUCUCUAGCUGGUUUGAGAGGAUGAUCAGCCACACUGGAAGUGAGACACGGUCCAGAGUCCUACGGGAGGCAGCAGUGGGGAAUAUUGGACAAUGGGCGCAAGCCUGAUCCAGCCAUGCCGCGUGUGUGAAGAAGGCCUUCGGGUUGUAAAGCACUUUCAGCGAGGAGGAAGGGUGGUGUGUUAAUAGCACAUCAUUUUGACGUUACUCGCAGAAGAAGCACCGGCUAACUCUGUGCCAGCAGCCGCGGUAA
rnacentral:rRNA from 1 species